rnacentral:rRNA from 1 species
GAUGAACGCUGGCGGCGUGCCUAAUACAUGCAAGUCGAGCGAACAGAUGAGGAGCUUGCUCCUCUGACGUUAGCGGCGGACGGGUGAGUAACACGUGGAUAACCUACCUAUAAGACGGGGAUAACUUCGGGAAACCGGAGCUAAUACCGGAUAAUAUAUUGAACCGCAUGGUUCAAUAGUGAAAGACGGUUUUGCUGUCACUUAUAGAUGGAUCCGCGCCGCAUUAGCUAGUUGGUAAGGUAACGGCUUACCAAGGCAACGAUGCGUAGCCGACCUGAGAGGGUGAUCGGCCACACUGGAACUGAGACACGGUCCAGACUCCUACGGGAGGCAGCAGUAGGGAAUCUUCCGCAAAGGGCGAAAGCCUGACGGAGCAACGCCGCGUGAGUGAUGAAGGUCUUCGGAUCGUAAAACUCUGUUAUUAGGGAAGAACAAAUGUGUAAGUAACUAUGCACGUCUUGACGGUACCUAAUCAGAAAGCCACGGCUAACUACGUG